GAGUUUGAUCAUGGCUCAGAACGAACGCUGGCGGCAGGCCUAACACAUGCAAGUCGAGCGAACCUUCGGGUUAGCGGCGGACGGGUUAGUAACGCGUGGGAACGUGCCUCUCUCUACGGAAUAGUCCCGGGAAACUGGGUUUAAUACCGUAUACGCCCUUUGGGGGAAAGAUUUAUCGGAGAGAGAUCGGCCCGCGUUGGAUUAGGUAGUUGGUGGGGUAAUGGCCUACCAAGCCGACGAUCCAUAGCUGGUUUGAGAGGAUGAUCAGCAACACUGGGACUGAGACACGGCCCAGACUCCUACGGGAGGCAGCAGUGAGGAAUCUUAGACAAUGGGGGAAACCCUGAUCUAGCCAUGCCGCGUGGACGAUGAAGGCCUUAGGGUUGUAAAGUCCUUUCGCUGGGGAAGAUAAUGACGGUACCCAGUAAAGAAGCCCCGGCUAACUCCGUGCCAGCAGCCGCCGUAAG
rnacentral:rRNA from 1 species